GACGAACGCUGGCGGCGUGCUUAACACAUGCAAGUCGAACGGAAAGGCCCUGCUUUUGUGGGGUGCUCGAGUGGCGAACGGGUGAGUAACACGUGAGUAACCUGCCCUUGACUUUGGGAUAACUUCAGGUAACUGGGGCUAAUACCGGAUAGGAGCUCCUGCUGCAUGGUGGGGGUUGGAAAGUUUCGGCGGUUGGGGAUGGACUCGGGGCUUAUCAGCUUGUUGGUGGGGUAGUGGCUUACCAAGGCUUUGACGGGUAGCCGGCCUGAGAGGGUGACCGGCCACAUUGGGACGGAGAUACGGCCCAGACUCCUACGGGAGGCAGCAGAGGGGAAUAUUGCACAAUGGGCGGAAGCCUGAUGCAGCAACGCCGCGUGCGGGAUGACGGCCUUCGGGUUGUAAACCGCUUUCGCCUGUGACGAAGCGUGAGUGACGGUAAUGGGUAAAGAAGCACCGGCUAACUACGUG
rnacentral:rRNA from 1 species